AUCUCGUUCUUGGAUGCAUGGAUCCUAAUUCGUACUUAUAUAACCCACUGGCAAACGUAGAUGAUGGAUCCUGCCCGCUUGAAUCUGAUUCCGAGUAGAGCUUCAAACUCCACAUCGAAAAAUCUUAUACACCCGCAAAGCCUGCAAGUACACAACCUAAGAUUGUGAAACUGCUGCUUCCCCCAACAAUAUUCAAUUGGGGAAAAUACAAAAACAGAGCUAUUGUAAAUUGG
rnacentral:lncRNA from 1 species